UACGAAGGGGGCUAGCGUUGUUCGGAAUCACUGGGCGUAAAGCGCACGUAGGCGGAUCUUUAAGUCAGGGGUGAAAUCCCGAGGCUCAACCUCGGAACUGCCUUUGAUACUGGGGAUCUCGAGUCCGGGAGAGGUGAGUGGAACUGCGAGUGUAGAGGUGAAAUUCGUAGAUAUUCGCAAGAACACCAGUGGCGAAGGCGGCUCACUGGCCCGGAACUGACGCUGAGGAGCGAAAGCCAGGGGAGCAAACGGG
rnacentral:rRNA from 1 species